CCCGGGGGCGGAGCGGCGCUGCACAGCGUGCGAAGUGACGCGGCAAAAGCUCAAAUUUUGAAAUCUGGCACAUUCGGUGUCCGAGUUGUAAUUUGAAGAAGGUAACUUUGGAGUUGGCUCUUGUCUAUGUUCCUUGGAACAGGACGUCACAGAGGG
rnacentral:rRNA from 1 species